rnacentral:rRNA from 1 species
GUGAGGAAUAUUGCGCAAUGGAGGCAACUCUGACGCAGCCAUGCCGCGUGCAGGAAGAAGGCGCUACGCGUUGUAAACUGCUUUUAACCGGGAAGAAACCCCAGGACGUGUCCUGGGUUGACGGUACCGGAGGAAUAAGCACCGGCUAACUUCGUGCCAGCAGCCGCGGUAAUACGAAGGGUGCAAGCGUUAUCCGGAUUCAUUGGGUUUAAAGGGUGCGUAGGCGGAGCGUUAAGUCAGUGGUGAAAUCCUGCAGCUUAACUGUAGACUUGCCGUUGAUACUGGCGCUCUUGAGUGCGCUUGAAGUGGGCGGAAUGUGCCGUGUAGCGGUGAAAUGCUUAGAUAUGGCACAGAACACCAAUUGCGAAGGCAGCUAACUAAGGCGAUACUGACGCUGAGGCACGAAAGCGUGGGGAUCGAACAGGAUUAGAAACCCCUGUAGUCC